UCCAAGCCUGUGAUCUCUGCACUGAACGAGCAUUACUCUGCUCAAUUAACCCACCCCAAACUCGGUGCCUUACAAAAAUAAUCUAAUUUAAUGGUGUAAUUGUGCAGCAAGGCACUAUUUUACCCCGCUGUAAACCUAUGCAAUAUAUUCAAACCUGAACAAAGCACUGAUGACCCUCUACAAAGCAGGAAUGGUUCAGGCGGGGUAAAAUACUCUGAACAACACAACCAUAGCCAUUUACUCACUAGCCUGUCUACUUGCAUUCAUUUUAAAGCAAUAACUCGAAUAUGAACAACACCACUCACACUGAUGGCUCCACUUAUGCAGUGACCAAAACAGCAGCACCUCCCUACAGUUCAUCUCCACGUUAUACAAUUCAAUCACGCAGUCCCAAAACACUUCAUUUAUUUUGGAUUGUCUUCAGGCGUUGUGCUGAAAAUCAGGAGUGAGAUAACAGCAGCGAAGGUAACCGGGUCGGAGAGGUCCAACACAUAGGCGAAACAAGACCAAAGGGACUGUCGGUCAGAACAUCUCCGCCAACUGGCUACCUACACGGACUCUCUGAGGCUUGCAGGAACACGGAUCUGCAGCGAUCGUUAGAGCAGCAAACUGUUUCCUGCGCCUGGAAAAAAAUAAAUAUUUGAAUAUUCUCAGGCGCUC